rnacentral:lncRNA from 1 species
UCAAGUAGAAAAUUUCAUUAAAGUGUCCAAAGUUACAGACUCGAGCGACAAACAUGGCUCAUUAAAACCUUGCCUAGGAACCUAGUGGGACAAAACCUAAGGCGAAAGAAAGAGUACACGCUCCAUAAAGGCUACAAACAAAAACUCAUGACGAAAAAAAUUAUCAACAUCAACUUGAAGAAACACAUUGAGAUAUGGAGGACCCUCUUUAAGUCAAACGUUUGUAGAAACCCUACCUAAAGCAACUUAGCAAGUCUAUCAGCGACAUUAUUACACAAUCUAGGAACAAAAACAAAAGGAAAGAGAUGCAAAAUCUCUAGAUAACAUAUGUGGAUGUUGUUGAUAAUUUCCCAUGGCCAUCUGAUUCAACCACCAAUGAAUCAUAACCAGCAUAUCCCUGCAAAGCAUUGAUAAACUCUUACAAUGUCUUUUAGACUUGGAUUAGACCUUCUAUUUGAGUUUUAAAUAAAUUUAAUUUUCAGUCCUAAGGUCCUAUAUAUGGUUUUGGAAUUAGGACCGACACUCCUUCAAAGAAAUGCAUUUUCACAUUUUUGUCAAAAUCCAAAGGAACUGUUGUGGCGCUCCAAAUGCACCUCAGAGGUUGUUAAAAGUGUAGAACAAACUCAAGAAAAUCCUUAUUGGGAAAAAUUCCAGAGGUUAUUGAAAGUUGCUUGCACCAUUUCUCAACUUCCUUAAAGCCCUACUUAAUCACACUAGAACUCAAAUCCAUGUUGAACAAGAAAACUGCAAGAUAGGAGUACGAAGUGUUGAAAGAGGAACCACUUUCACUCGAAACGGACUUCCUCUCUGAAUCAAUAGGAUAUGGAUGACUGACAGCAAAAAGCUGGAUCUUUGAAAAAACUUAGUGUUUUUGGAUGCUCGAGCACCAACCAUGGAGCUCCAAUGACCUUCGCCAUUUUCACCUAAUUUUGAUCCGGUUUCGACCUAAAACUCUUCCCAUCGGUCUCGAAACUAAUAAAAAU